rnacentral:rRNA from 1 species
GACGAACGCUGGCGGCGUGCCUAAUACAUGCAAGUAGGACGCAGUUGCGAACGGGUGAGUAACGCGUAGGUAACUACCUAUUAGAGGGGGAUAACUCUUGGACACGAUAGCUAAUCCCGCAUACUAGUAGAUGGACCUGCGUUGUAUUAGCUAGUAGGUAGGGUAAUGGCCUACCUAGGCAACGAUACAUAGCCGACCUUGGAGGGGGAGCGGCCAAACUGGGACUGAGACAAGGCCCCGACCCCUACGGGAGGCAGCAGUAGGGAAUCUUCGGCAAUGGGGGGAACCCUGACCGAGCAACGCCGCGGUAGUGAAGAAGGUUUUCGGAUCGGAAAGCUCUGUUCUUAAGGAAGCGUUACUUAACCAGAAAGGGACGGCUAACUACGUGCCAGCAGCCGCGGUAAUAC